GAGCACGUAGGUGGGUUUGUAAGUCAGGUGUGAAAGCCUUCUGUUCAACGGAAAAAUUGCAUCUGAAACUGCGAGUCUUGAGUGUAGGAGGGGAGAAUGGAACUUCUGGUGGAGCGGUGAAAUGCGUAGAUAUCAGAAGGAACGCCGGCGGCGAAAGCGAUUCUCCGGCCUAUUACUGACACUCAGUGUGCGAAAGCUAGGGGAGCAAACGGGAUUAGAUACCCCGGUAGUCCUAGCCGUAAACGAUGGGCACUAAGUAGAGGGG
rnacentral:rRNA from 1 species